UCGGCUUAGAGUUUGAUCAUGGCUCAGAUUGAACGCUGGCGGCAGGCUUAACACAUGCAAGUCGAACGGUAGAAGAGCUUGCUCUUGACGAGUGGCGGACGGGUGAGUAAUGUAUGGGGAUCUGCCAAAUGGAAGGGGACAACAGUUGGAAACGACUGCUAAUACCGUAUAAUGUCGCGAGACCAAAGUGUUUAGACAUGCCAUUUGAUGAACCCAUAUGGGAUUAGCUAGUAGGUAGGGUAAAGGCCUACCUAGGCGACGAUCUCUAGCUGGUCUGAGAGGAUGACCAGCCACACUGGAACUGAGACACGGUCCAGACUCCUACGGGAGGCAGCAGUGGGGAAUAUUGCACAAUGGGGGAAACCCUGAUGCAGCCAUGCCGCGUGUAUGAAGAAGGCCUUAGGGUUGUAAAGUACUUUCGGUAAUGAGGAAGGUAACUAUUAACAUAGUUAAUUGACGUUAAUUACAGAAGAAGCACCGGCUAACUCCGUGCCAGCAGCCGCGGUAAUACGGAGGGUGCGAGCGUUAAUCGGAAUGACUGGGCGUAAAGGGCAUGUAGGCGGAUGAUUAAGUUAGGUGUGAAAGCCCCGGGCUCAACCUGGGAAUUGCACUUAAAACUGGUUAUCUAGAGUAU
rnacentral:rRNA from 1 species